rnacentral:misc_RNA from 1 species
AAACUGGGCACAAAAAAUUUGUGGUUCUAGUCCAGAAUGAUGGAGAAAGCGAUCUGAAAGUGACUCUUUCUGCUCCAAAUCCCAUUGAUAAUACUCUCCUUGAAAUACCCAAACACCGAACUAGAAAGAUCAAUUUAGCUGUUGGUAACAGCAAUGAAGUGAUACUAGAAGCUGGAAAGGGGGAGUGUGUUCUACACACGGAUCUUCCUGCAUCUCAGGGAAACAUUUUCAUGCACCUUCCUUCUUACAACAAACUGAUCACUCCCAUUAAUGGUGCCUACUUCAUAAUUCUCACUGUGUUAAUUUUUGGAGGGGUAUGGGGUUGCUGCUUGUUUAGAAAGAGGAAACAACACGAUGGCAUACCUUAUCAAGAACUUGAGAUGGGUUUGCCAGAAUCUAGUUCAGCAAACAAUGUGGAAACGGCAGAAGGUUGGGAUGAGGGCUGGGAUGAUGACUGGGACGAGGAAAAUGCGGUGAAGUCACCAGCAGCACGUCAUUUGGGAAGUAUCUCAGCCAACGGCCUUAUUUCUAGGUCUCCAAAGAAGGAUGAAUGGGGAAAUGAUUGGGAUGAUUAGGACUUCUGCGGUGGAAAAAGAGAGACUUUUACCCAUGAGGGUACAGAGUGGAGAAACAAGAAAAAGAAUAGAUACA